rnacentral:rRNA from 1 species
UUGUCUCAAAGAUUAAGCCAUGCAUGUCUCAGUACAAGCCAAAUUAAGGUGAAACCGCGAAAGGCUCAUUAAAUCAGUUAUGGUUCCUUAGAUCGUACCCACAUUUACUUGGAUAACUGUGGUAAUUCUAGAGCUAAUACAUGCAAACAGAGCUCCGACCGGAGACGGAAGGAGCGCUUUUAUUAGAUCAAAACCAAUCGGUGGCGGUUCCCGUCAUCGUACAACUUGGUGACUCUGAAUAACUUUACGCUGAUCGCACGGUCUUGCACCGGCGACGCAUCUUUCAAAUGUCUGCCUUAUCAACUGUCGAUGGUAGGUUCUGCGCCUACUAUGGUUGUAACGGGUAACGGGGAAUCAGGGUUCGAUUCCGGAGAGGGAGCCUGAGAAACGGCUACCACAUCCAAGGAAGGCAGCAGGCGCGCAAAUUACCCACUCCCGGCACGGGGAGGUAGUGACGAAAAAUAACGAUACGGGACUCAUCCGAGGCCCCGUAAUCGGAAUGAGUACACUCUAAAUCCUUUAACGAGGAUCAAUUGGAGGGCAAGUCUGGUGCCAGCAGCCGCGGUAAUUCCAGCUUCAAUAGCGUAUAUUAAAGUUGUUGCGGUUAAAAAGCUCGUAGUCGAAUCUGUGUCCCGCGCCGCCGGUUCAUCGUUCGCGGUGUUAACUGGCGUGCCGCGGGACGUCCUGCCGGUGGGCUUAGCUCGCGAGGGCGGCCCAACUCAAUCCCGCCGCGGUGCUCUUCAUUGAGUGUCGAGGUGGGCCGGCACGUUUACUUUGAACAAAUUAAAGUGCUUAAAGCAGGCUAAAACUUCGCCUGAAUACGUGUGCAUGGAAUAAUGGAAUAGGACCUCGGUUCUAUUUUGUUGGUUUUCGGAACCCCGAGGUAAUGAUUAAUAGGAACGGAUGGGGGCAUUCGUAUUGCGACGUUAGAGGUGAAAUUCUUGGAUCGUCGCAAGACGGACAGAAGCGAAAGCAUUUGCCAAAAACGUUUUCAUUGAUCAAGAACGAAAGUUAGAGGUUCGAAGGCGAUCAGAUACCGCCCUAGUUCUAACCAUAAACGAUGCCAGCUAGCGAUCCGCCGACGUUCCUCCGAUGACUCGGCGGGCAGCUUCCGGGAAACCAAAGCUUUUGGGUUCCGGGGGAAGUAUGGUUGCAAAGCUGAAACUUAAAGGAAUUGACGGAAGGGCACCACCAGGAGUGGAGCCUGCGGCUUAAUU